rnacentral:lncRNA from 1 species
AGCAAACUAAGGGAGAGCCAAUACAAUUUGAAGAUCCAAACCUACUUCCUUUGCUUGCUGAAUUUUCAGAUAUAUUUGACGAACCGUACAACCUACCUCUUACCCGUCGGCAUGAUCAUUAUAUAAUGACUCUUUCAGGCAAACCUCCAGCAAAUACUCGGCCAUAUCAAUAUCUCCAGAAGGAUGAAAUAGAAAGGAUUGUAAAAG